UGAAAUACGAACUGUGCUGUGAUUGGUUAGCUGGGCCAGCGUGUGCUGUGUUGCGAUUGGUUAGCUGGGCCAGCGUGUGCUGUGUUGCGGUCGGUUAGCUGGGCCAGUGUGUGUUGCGGUCGGUUAGCUGGGCCAGCGUGUGCUGUGUUGCGAUUUGGUUAGCUGGGCCAGUGUGUGUUGCGGUCGGUUAGCUGGGCCAGUGUGUGUUGUGUUGUGGUCGGUUAGCUGGGCCAGUGUGUUGUGUGUUGCGGUCGGUUAGCUGGGCCAGUGUGUGUUGCGGUUGGUUAGCUGGGCCAGUGUGUGUGUGCUGUGAUUGGUUAGCUGGGCCAGUGUGUGUGUGCUGUGGUCGGUUAGCUGGGCCAGUGUGUGUUGCGGUCGGUUAGCUGGGCCAGUGUGUGUUGCGGUCGGUUAGCUGGGCAAGUGUGUGUUGCGGUUGGUUAGCUGGGCCAGUGUGUGUUGCGGUUGGUUAGCUGGGCCAGUGUGUGUGUGCUGUGGUUGGUUAGCUGGGCCAGUGUGUGUGUGCUGUGGUUGGUUAGCUGGGCCAGUGUGUGUUGCGGUUGGUUAGCUGGGCCAGUGUGUGUUGCGGUUGGUUAGCUGGGCCAGUGUGUGUGUGCUGUGAUUGGUUAGCUGGGCCAGUGUGUGUUGCGGUUGGUUAGCUGGGCCAGUGUGUGUGUGCUGUGAUUGGUUAGCUGGGCCAGUGUGUGUUGCGGUUGGUUAGCUGGGCCAGUGUGUGUGUUGCGGUUGGUUAGCUGGGCCAGUGUGUGUGUGCUGUGAUUGGUUAGCUGGGCCAGUGUGUGUGUGUGCUGUGAUUGGUUAGCUGGGCCAGUGUGUGUGUGCUGUGGUUGGUUAGCUGGGCCAGUGUGUGUUGCCGUUGGUUAGCUGGGCCAGUGUGUGUGUGCUGUGGUUGGUUAGCUGGGCCAGUGUGUGUUGCGAUUGGUUAGCUGGGCCAGUGUGUGUUGCGGUUGGUUAGCUGGGCCAGUGUGUGUGUGUGCUGUGAUUGGUUAGCUGGGCCAGUGUGUGUUGCGGUUGGUUAGCUGGGCCAGUGUGUGUGUGCUGUGGUUGGUUAGCUGGGCCAGUGUGUGUUGCGGUUGGUUAGCUGGGCCAGUGUGUGUUGUGGUC
ensembl:lncRNA